AGUUAGACAGCAGCGCACCAAGACGGGCACGACACAGUGCUUCACACACACCAGAAAGAGCUCCCAGACUGUGAAAUAACUUGGCCUUAAGUACUGCCUUGUCCAGCGUAUCCUCCAAUCACCAACCGCUGUCCCUAACUAGGCACAGGUGCAUCGAAUUCCCUGAUUUUCCCUCUUACGGCGCUACCAGAAAGUUCCGGUGUUCUGUUUUUCCGGUCCGGGCGGAAACACUUCCGGGCGGAACCAAAAUUCGGGAAGAUCGUCACCUUGUGACAUCAACGUACGUUACAUUUGCACAUAACGUACUUAAACUGGUUUUGAUAAUUUUCUCUCCUCAGAAAAUCCAGUAUGACUUCUCUGAAAGUCUCAAAAGCUUCACAGAGCAGCACCAUCAGUUAAUGAAGAAAUGUGGCUCUGUAGUGGACACCUGUGAGGCAGUGGACAGACAGCUGCUGAUGUCGGAUGCUGACUGACAAUAAACAGACGUCUCUGGACGUACCCCAUAUUUUGCAGAGAAAUUAAACCAUUGCCCUUCCUGUUACAUGCUGUCCUGGACUGUAUAUGAUGAGCCUACACAGAAUCUCAGAACAGCUGUGGUAAUAACAGGAGACUCAUUAGAUGAGAGCAGCACUGCAGACUUUCCUGAUGGUGAGGAGCUUCUUGCUGAUGAACCUGCCGACAUGAGUUCAACUUACUAUGAGUAACUAUGUUCUGUUCAACAUUAUACAGAAAAGCAAUUAAAAGUUCACUAAAGCGCAUUGUUUUUCUGCUGUAUCUGUUGGCCAUGCAGGAGAUCAUGGACAAUUUUCACAAGACUGAUGAUGUGUUUCAGCUGUGUUUGUAUCGUGAAUCCUCACAAUGUUUGUAUAUUUUGAUUUUUUUUUUUUAUUAUGUGCAUUUAUAACACUAUACUUUGUAUUAUAUCACAUUCAUAUCAAAUUACAGAAAAAAAUAGUUAAUGCUAAUGCAAGGGUGUUUCAAAUCCAGAGUCUUUGAGAGGAAUGCUAAAUUUGACAUUGUUCUCUUGUCUGAUUGCUGUUAUCAGUCUCUGUCAGAUUUUUUCCUUUGAUUGAAAGUUGUGAAAAUGCUAUUGUAGAGUUUUUCAUUUUGCUAUUUGAGUAAAUGAGAAUGCAAAAAUAUAUUUAUGAUACUCUCCCAUUCACUGCUCUCGAAGUUAACCCAACUAUAACAACUUACACUGCUGAGAAACUGGUUUAUUAAGCUAAUUACAUCUAUCUUGAGGCUUAUCAAUUUCUUGAAAUGUCCUGUGUGAAUUCUCCCAAUCAGUCACCACUAUUUUGAACAGGAAAGAAUAUGUUACUAUUAAUUGCAUUGUUUCUAAAAUUUAAAUCAUUGUUUUAGGUACAUAAAAUGUUUUUUUAAAGUUCUAAGAUUAUUGAGUCACAUUUAUUUGUUUCUAAUUUUAUCCAAGGUGUAAAUGUUUUUUGUUGUUGUUGUUUAUAGCAGUAUUAACACUGAUGUUGCCAUGAAUGGGAUUGUGAUGUGCAGUAUUGUGAUUAUGGAUAUUGUUGUUGUUUAUCAAUAAACUGUUUUAUACGCAUUUGUU